CUUGAACAUACACAUUGGGUAGGGGAGCUUACUAUGUUAGGUAGAAGCAUGAUCGUAAGGACAUGUGGACGAAAUAGUAGUGAGAAUGCCGGAAUAAGUAGCGAGAGUGAAGUGAGAAUCUUUACCGUCGAAAAUCUAAGGUUUCCUGGGGAAGGUUCGUCCGCCCAGGGUAAGUCGGGACCUAAGCCGAGGCCGAAAGGCGUAGGCGAUGGACAACAGGUUGAAAUUCCUGUACUACCGCUGCUCGUUAUCAGAGAUGUGGGGGCGCAGGGGGAUAAGUCAAGCGAGUGACUGGAAGAGCUCGUCUAAGUAGAGGAUAUAGUCUGGUAGGCAAAUCCGCCGGAUGUUUUGAGACUACGAAUGGGAGGGAAAUUAGAGUACCGAAGUGACUGAUUCCGCACUGACGAGAAAAUCCACUAUCGAGAGUAGAGGUACCCGUACCGCAGACCGACACAGGUAGAUGAGGAGAGAAUCCUAAGACGAACGGGAGAAGCGUUGUUAAGGAACUCGGCAAAUUGACCCCGUAAGUUCGCAAUAAGGGGUGCCACCGCAAGGUGGUCGCAGAGAAUAGGCCCAAGCAACUGUUUAACAAAAACACAGGUCUCUGCUAAAUCGAAAGAUGAAGUAUAGGGGCUGACGCCUGCCCGGUGCUGGAAGGUUACGGGAAUCUGUCAACGAAAGUGAAGCAGUGAACUUAAGCCCCAGUAAACGGCGGCCGUAACAAUAACGGUCCUAAGGUAGCGAAAUUCCUUGUCAGGUAAGUUCUGACCCGCACGAAUGGCGUAAUGAUUUGGGCACUGUCUCAACAACGUACCCGGCGAAAUUGUAGUACUUGUGAAGAUGCAAGUUACCCGCGACUAGACGGAAAGACCCCAUGGAGCUUUACUGUAGCCUGAUACUGGGUUUCGGUAUUCUUUGUACAGGAUAGGUGGGAGGUUAGGAAGUAUGGACGCCAGUUCAUAUGGAACCGACGUUGGGAUACCACUCUAAGAAUACUGGAACUCUAACCUGAGGCCAUAAUCUGGUCUAGGGACACUGUCAGGUGGGCAGUUUGACUGGGGCGGUCGCCUCCCAAAAGGUAACGGAGGCGUUCAAAGGUUACCUCAGCGCGGUUGGAAAUCGCGCAACGAGUGCAAAGGCAUAAGGUAGCCUGACUGCGAGACAGACAAGUCGAGCAGGUACGAAAGUAGGACUUAGUGAUCCGGCGGUAUGAAAGUGGAAUUGCCGUCGCUCAACGGAUAAAAGCUACCCUGGGGAUAACAGGCUGAUCUCCCCCAAGAGUCCACAUCGACGGGGAGGUUUGGCACCUCGAUGUCGGCUCAUCGCAUCCUGGAGCUGAAGUAGGUUCCAAGGGUUUGGCUGUUCGCCAAUUAAAGCGGUACGCGAGCUGGGUUCAGAACGUCGUGAGACAGUUCGGUCCCUAUCUGUCGCGGGCGCAGGAUAUUUGAAGGGAUCUGUCCUUAGUACGAGAGGACCGGGAUGGACGAACCUCUGGUGUACCAGUUGUACUACCAAGUGCAUAGCUGGGUAGCCAAGUUCGGAAGGGAUAAACGCUGAAGGCAUCUAAGCGUGAAACCCACCCUAAGAUGAGAUAUCCCACCGUAAGGGUAAGACCCCAUGUAGACUACAUGGUUGAUAGGCCAGAGGUGUAAGUGCAGUAAUGUAUUUAGCUGACUGGUACUAAUAGGUCGAGGGCUUGAUC
rnacentral:rRNA from 1 species